GUGCCAGCCGCCGCGGUAAUACGUAGGGUGCAAGCGUUAAUCGGAAUUACUGGGCGUAAAGCGUGCGCAGGCGGUUUUGUAAGUCUGUCGUGAAAGCCCCGGGCUCAACCUGGGAAUUGCGAUGGAGACUGCAAGGCUUGAAUCUGGCAGAGGGGGGUAGAAUUCCACGUGUAGCAGUGAAAUGCGUAGAGAUGUGGAGGAACACCGAUGGCGAAGGCAGCCCCCUGGGUCAAGAUUGACGCUCAUGCACGAAAGCGUGGGGAGCAAACAGGAUUAGAUACCCCUGUAGUCC
rnacentral:rRNA from 1 species